rnacentral:rRNA from 1 species
AGGACGAACGCUGGCGGCGUGCUUAACACAUGCAAGUCGAACGAUGAACCGGAGCUUGCUCCGGGGAUUAGUGGCGAACGGGUGAGUAACACGUGGGCAACCUGCCCCAGACAUCGGGAUAACCAUUCGAAAGGAUGGCUAAUACCGGAUAUGACCACUUCGGGCAUCCGAUGGUGGUGGAAAGGAUUCUGGUCUGGGAUGGGCCCGCGGCCUAUCAGCUAGUUGGUGGGGUAAUGGCCUACCAAGGCGACGACGGGUAGCCGGCCUGAGAGGGCGACCGGCCACACUGGGACUGAGACACGGCCCAGACUCCUACGGGAGGCAGCAGUGGGGAAUAUUGCGCAAUGGGCGAAAGCCUGACGCAGCGACGCCGCGUGAGGGACGAAGGUCUUCGGAUUGUAAACCUCUUUCAGCAGGGACGAAGCGAAAGUGACUGUACCUGCAGAAGAAGCACCGGCUAACUACGUG